rnacentral:rRNA from 1 species
UUACGGGAGGCAGCAGUGGGGAAUCUUGCGCAAUGGCCUAACGGCUGACGCAGCGACGCCGCGUGAGGGAUGACGCUCUUCGGAGUGUAAACCUCUUUUGCCUGAGACGAAUUGUCAGCUUUAGCUGAUUUGACUGUAUCGGGUGAAUAAGCACCGGCUAACUCCGUGCCAGCAGCCGCGGUAAUACGGGGGGUGCGAGCGUUGUCCGGAAUCACUGGGCGUAAAGGGCGCGUAGGUGGCCUGAUAAGGGUGUGGUGAAAGUCCGGGGCUCAACCCCGGAUCGGCCGUGCCGACUGUUAGGCUAGAGUACUGUAGGGGCAGGCGGAAUUCCGGGUGUAGCGGUGGAAUGCGUAGAGAUCCGGAGGAAGACCGGUGGCGAAGGCGGCCUGCUGGGCAGUUACUGACACUGAGGCGCGACAGCGUGGGGAGCAAACAGGAUUAGAUACCCCGGUAGC